UACGUAGGGUGCAAGCGUUGUCCGGAUUCAUUGGGCGUAAAGAGCUCGUAGGCGGCUUGGCAAGUCGGGUGUGAAAACUCCAGGCUCAACCUGGAGACGCCACCCGAUACUGCCAUGGCUAGAGUCCGGUAGGGGACCACGGAAUUCCUGGUGUAGCGGUGAAAUGCGCAGAUAUCAGGAGGAACACCAAUGGCGAAGGCAGCUCGCUGGGACGGUACUGACGCUGAGACGCGAAAGCGUGGGGAGCGAACAGG
rnacentral:rRNA from 1 species